UUCUGCACUUGUUAGGAACACGC
rnacentral:piRNA from 1 species